rnacentral:pre_miRNA from 1 species
CUCUCAAGGUGGCUGUUAUAUGUGUGUUGAAAUAAUAUUUCAUAUCACAGCUGCUUUGAUGAGUG